rnacentral:rRNA from 1 species
GUAGGAGGCAAGCGUUGUCCGGAAUUAUUGGGCGUAAAGCGCGCGCAGGCGGUUCUUUAAGUCUGAUGUGAAAGCCCACGGCUCAACCGUGGAGGGUCAUUGGAAACUGGAGAACUUGAGUACAGAAGAGGAAAGCGGAAUUCCACGUGUAGCGGUGAAAUGCGUAGAGAUGUGGAGGAACACCAGUGGCGAAGGCGGCUUUCUGGUCUGUAACUGACGCUGAGGCGCGAAAGCGUGGGGAGCAAACAGGAUUAGAUACCCUGGUAGUCCACGCCGUAAACGAUGAGUGCUAAGUGUUAGGGGGGUUUUCCGCCCCCCUUAGUGCUGCAGCUAACGCAUUAAGCACUCCGCCUGGGAGUACGGCCGCAAGGCUG